rnacentral:rRNA from 1 species
UAAUACAUCGGAACGUGCCUAGUAGUGGGGGAUAACUACUCGAAAGAGUGGCUAAUACCGCAUGAGAUCUAUGGAUGAAAGCAGGGGACCUUCGGGCCUUGUGCUACUGGAGCGGCCGAUGGCAGAUUAGGUAGUUGGUGGGAUAAAAGCUUACCAAGCCGACGAUCUGUAGCUGGUCUGAGAGGACGAUCAGCCACACUGGGACUGAGACACGGCCCAG